rnacentral:lncRNA from 1 species
GGGCCACCUGCUGUGUUCAGUCCACCAGUGCAAAUGCUAAGCUCUUCCAGAAACACCCUCACAGACACCCGGGAAGUCACGUACCCACUCUCCGGGUGCCCUGGGGCACAGGCAAGCUGACAAGCCGGUUACCCCUCAGAGCUCCUGCUGCCUCGCCUGCUUUCUCUCGGAAACGUGAAGUGUGGCCUCAGCUGAAAGUGAGUACACACCUUAUGGAGGUGGGGGUGCAGUUAAGGAAGAGUGUCAUUGGGUGGAACAGUCGGAGGAUAAAGCUGGACUGAGAAAGCUUAAAGAGGAGGGACUUUGCAGCCAGACCUCUGAGGAGGGGCAGGGUUUCCAGCAGAGCCGGGGCUCAGAGCCAUCAAAACAUCCCUCUGAACAGUUAAAAAUAGGACUCUCUUGCAAACAUGGAAUGAACACUCCUCAAAGAUUAACUUACCUCCCUGAACAGGGAGCUGGCAGGCGAGUGAACCCAUUCAAAGGAGAAUUUGAGGAACAGGUGCUCACACCUUAAGCCAGGAAGGCGAACUGAAAUCGGGUUGCUACGUUAAAGGCAAAGCUGGUCGCUGUCCUCUGGGGCAAUGGAGUCAUCACCUGUGGGGUUAUCUUCUUCACCAGGUAGAAGUUAUUUGCAUGUUUGCUAGGCAGAAAUCCACAGCUUGACAAGUAAUUUCAGAGUCUGGGAACGAAGCAGUAGGAGACAAUAGCAGGAAAGGAGCACCCCUAAAGAACCAACUCUUGCAUGUGUGGGCUGCUAGACAGUAUCCCCGUGUGGCGUCAGAAGCCUUCCUUUUGCUUAUCUGCAAGUCUUGGAUGACCUUUUUAAAACAGAGGCAGGCUCUGGAGUUGCAGCGUCACAUUCACAUCCCACCUUCGCCUCUCGCAGGUGGCUGUGGGACUGCCCCUUCUUCCUGCUCUGAGCUGGAUUUCCUCAUCUGAAGAUGAGUGCAGGGGAUGGGCCCGUCAUCGUGCAUACAUCGUAGGUCAGUCUCGAAGAUCGAAUGAAGUCUACAUAUGAAGUGCUUGGCCCAGCCACAACUCAGUAAGUGUCAGGGGUAAUUACAACAACAUUUGAAUAUUAAUGCAGGCAAGUCUCAGCAUCACGAAGA